rnacentral:rRNA from 1 species
UGAAUACAUUAGCAUGGAAUAAUAGAAUAGGACGAUCGAUCCUAUUUUGUUGGUUUCUAGGGUUGACGUAAUGAUUAAUAGGGAUAGUUGGGGGCAUUAGUAUUCAAUUGUCAGAGGUGAAAUUCUUGGAUUUAUUGAAGACUGACUACUGCGAAAGCAUUUGCCAAGGAUGUUUUCAUUAAUCAAGAACGAAAGUUAGGGGAUCGAAGACGAUCAGAUACCGUCGUAGUCUUAACCAUAAACUAUGCCGACUAGGGAUCGGAUGGUGUUAAUUUUUUAAUGACUCAUUCGGCGCCUUACG